rnacentral:rRNA from 1 species
GCCUCAGUAGCGGCGAGUGAAGCGGCAAAAGCUCAAAUUUGAAAUCUGGCGUCUUUGGCGUCCGAGUUGUAAUUUGAAGAAGGUAUCUUUGGGCCCGGCUCUUGUCUAUGUUCCUUGGAACAGGACGUCACAGAGGGUGAGAAUCCCGUGCGAUGAGAUGACCCGGGUCUGUGUAAAGUUCCUUCGACGAGUCGAGUUGUUUGGGAAUGCAGCUCUAAGUGGGUGGUAAAUUCCAUCUAAAGCUAAAUAUUGGCGAGAGACCGAUAGCGAACAAGUACAGUGAUGGAAAGAUGAAAAGAACUUUGAAAAGAGAGUGAAAAAGUACGUGAAAUUGUUGAAAGGGAAGGGCUUGAGAUCAGACUUGGUAUUUUGCAUGUUGCUCUCUCGGGGGCGGCCGCUGCGGUUUACCGGGCCAGCAUCGGUUUGGAGCGGCAGGAUAAUGGCGGAGGAAUGUGGCACGGCUUCUGCUGUGUGUUAUAGCCUCUGACGAUACUGCCAGCCUAGACCGAGGACUGCGGUUUUUACCUAGGAUGUUGGCAUUAUGAUCUUAAGUCGCCCGUCUUGAAACACGGACCA